ACGCGGCUUUCCAUUUUAUGUUGAUCAUCAAAUCAAUUAUUUUUUUUAUAUACAAACAAUUUACCAAAGAUAGGAUAUAAUUCACAAUCCUUCUCUUUGUUUACCUUAGAAUUUAACAAUCCAAAAUCGUUUCCUGCCAUACCUUACCACACCACUCAUCACAGCCGACUACCACCUUCUCACCACCCAUUACAAACUCUCCGCCCUGCCUUUUUCCGUUACAAACCACCAACGCAACCACCGCAAUUGACUCUGCUGAUUCGAAGCAUAAUCGCCGCCACCGUUCCGACUUUGUUCCCUUUUGGCGGAGCACAUACCAUCUCGCCAUGAACCACCAUCACACCGCACCACUCGCCGUCGCAUCUCUUUUCACGGUUUAACUAGGAUUGUCUCAUCGGUGACUCCACACCGCGUACCGCCAUUACUCCAUAGUGUUUCGUCGUGCACAGUCUCUGUAACACCACCUAGUUUCUUGUGCGAAUCAACCACCACAGUUCGUCGCCGGUUAUAAUCAUCACAAUCGCUACCUUUUACGGCCGCCAAUACUAUCACCGCUUUCUCUCGACCCGUUUGUCCAAUCUAUCGUCGAGGUUUGCAUAAGUUUUGAGGAGGACUUUAUUUGUGGGUUUUUGCUUUGCUUGCUAAACUAAGGUAAUCCGGGAAAUGUUGGGAACUAGUGAUGAUGAGAGUAAAAUGCGGUUCAAGAAUAAAGACUUUUAUUUAUUUCAACAUUUUGAAUUAAUUAAUACUUAGGAUUCUUGGUUUGUUUUAAGACUUUGUUUAUCUUUCGAAUUCAAC